rnacentral:lncRNA from 1 species
GGGAAGCAGAGGGUGAGCAGGGCACCAGUAGAGCUACUGGUGACGCUGGGCUCAGACCAGAGCAGUGGGGCUGCAAAGGACAGGGGGCGAGAGGACCUGUAGGGAAGAGAAGGGCCAGGGAGUGUGGGACCAUGGUCGUGAGCAGGAGACCUGGGCGGGAUGAGCACCACGACUCCGAACCCUUUGGGUUCUACCCUACUCCACUCAGACUCCCUAAACCUCACUCCUCCUCAUCCUUCUCACUCCUCCUCACCCUUCCCUAUCCCUCCCCACUCCUCCCCACCCCUCACCACCCCUCUCCACCCCUCUCCACCCCUCCUCACCCCUCUUCACCCCUCCUCACUGCUCCUCACUCCUCCUCCUCAUUCCUUCCCAUUCCUUCUCACUCCUCACUCCUCCUCACUCCUCCUCACCCCUCUUCACUCCUCCUCACCUCUCCACACUCCUCCUCCACACUCCUCCCCACUCCUUACUCCUCCCUACUCCUCCUCACUCCUCCUCACUCCUCCUUACCCCUCCCCACUCCUCCCCAUUCUUUCUCACUCCUCCUCACUCCUUCUCACCCCUCCUCCACACUCCUCCUCCACACUCCUCCCCACUCCUCCUCCACACUCCUCCCCACUUCUCACUCCUCCACACUCCUCCUCACCCCUCCUCACCCCUCUUCACCCCUCUNNNNNNNNNNNNNNNNNNNNNNNNNNNNNNNNNNNNNNNNNNNNNNNNNNNNNNNNNNNNNNNNNNNNNNNNNNNNNNNNNNNNNNNNNNNNNNNNNNNNNNNNNNNNNNNNNNNNNNNNNNNNNNNNNNNNNNNNNNNNNNNNNNNNNNNNNNNNNNNNNNNNNNNNNNNNNNNNNNNNNNNNNNNNNNNNNNNNNNNNNNNNNNNNNNNNNNNNNNNNNNNNNNNNNNNNNNNNNNNNNNNNNNNNNNNNNNNNNNNNNNNNNNNNNNNNNNNNNNNNNNNNNNNNNNNNNNNNNNNNNNNNNNNNNNNNNNNNNNNCCUCCUCACUCCUCCCCACUCCUCUCACUCCUCCUUACUCCUCCCCACUCCUCCCCAAUCUUUCUUACUCCUCCCCACUCCUCACUCCUCCCCCACUCCUCCUCACUCCUCCCCACUCCUCCCCACCCUUCCUCACUCCUCCUCACUCCACCCCACUCCUCCUUACUCCUCCCACUCCUCCUCACCCCUCCCCAAUCCUCCUCACUCCUCCUCACUCCUUCUUACUCCUCCUAACCCCUCCUCACUCCUCCUCACUCCUCCCCACUCCUCCCCACCCUUCCUCACUCCUCCUCACUCCACCCCACUCCUCCUUACUCCUCCCACUCCUCCUCACCCCUCCCCAAUCCUCCUCACUCCUCCUCACUCCUUCUUACUCCUCCUAACCCCUCCUCACUCCUCCUCACUCCUCCCCACUCCUCCUCACCCCUUCUUACUCCUCAUUACUCCUCCUCACUCCUCCUCAGCCCUCCCCACUCCCUCUUCUCACUCUUCCUCACACCUCCCCACUCCUCCCCACUCUCUCCUCACCCCUCCUUACUUCUCCUGACUCCUCCCCACUCCUCUCCACUCCUCCCAGUUCCUCCUCACUUCCUCAUCUCCUCCUUUGUUAUUUGGUCUUUAAACUUGCUUGUUUUUGUUUUUCUAUUUUCUUUUCCUCACCUAUUUCUCUCUGUCUUUUUUGUUGUUGUUGCUCCUCAUGUCCUUGUGUCUGGACCUUCUCUUGGUAGUUUUUCUUUUCCAUUUCCCAUCCACUUAUUUCCAUCAGUCCCUUGGAGGUUGAUUGGUUUUCCUUUUGAAUGGUUCUGUUGGUAUCCCUUGUUGGAUCUUGAGAGAGAUUUUAGAACAUGCAUACACUGUGUCUUUUUCAUCCCAUAUCUUGGUUAGACCCAGGAUAUACAGAUGUCUUGAAAGACGAUGUCACAGAAUUUGUGCAUCAAUUUCCUGGGUAAUAAAUCUAUCAGUUUAGUAUAUGUGUUAUGCAUAAAAACACUUUUGUUAUCCUUGUCUUCAAUGUGAUAUAUAACAUUAUGUGCCACAUAUAUUUAUACAUAUCCUAUUGAUUCACUCAGUUGUUUUUUUUUUUAGACCAGUACUCUUUUGUUUCUCUUCUGCUAUCUUGGUGUUCUGCACUCUGUUGGUUUGACACAUGUAUAAUAUCAGGGACCCACCAACACAGGAUGCCCUAGAGGGGCUCCAGUGCCUUAGAAAUUCACAUGCUCCUCUGCUCUUCGUUUUCCCACACCCACUCUGGUCCUCUGGCCACCACUGAUGUUUUUACUGUCUCUGCAACUGAAACCACCAAAACACAUUUCAGAACAGUUAAUGAACAAAGAGGAGAAUCGCAUGUCAUCACAGAAUUUCAAAGAGACUGCCAUGUUAGAUCUCUGUCAGAAGUUUCCAAGCUUCCACUCAGUGGCACCCGGCCCUGAGUGCCCCCGUACCCCCUUCCCCCAGAAAAAAAGAAGUAGGAUUGGGAAGUUUGAAACUACAUUGAAAGAUUAUUAGCAAACUUUCUUCUGUCUACACAUUGGGGAAUUCUCCAUUGGGUUGACCCAUUAGCCAGUUUUCUAAUGGACAAAUAAUUGUUAGGAAGUCAGCUAGAAUUGCAUAAUGCAAAACUUGCCAAGCUCCCAUUGAGGCAAUAGGAAUUAAAACAUUGAAUGAAACUGAUCCUCUCCUGAAAGAAAAUGGCUCUAGAGGCUGAGGCAGGGACAACUAAGUUGCCAGCUUCAGCAACUUAGUGAGGCAACUUAGCCAGACCCUAGCUCAAAAAAAAAAAAAAAAAAUUAAAGGGCUAAAGAUGUGGCUCAGUGGUUAAUCUCCCUUGGGUUCAAUCCCUGUACCAAAAAAAGAAAUUGACUUAUCAAAGUUUAUCACAAAAUCUGUUGUUUAUGUUGAGAGGUUAUAGAGAUUUCACUUUUUAUUUUUUGAAUGACCACAUAGAGAAGAUGUCCCUACAGUUUCCUAGCUCAGAAUUGGUCUUUAGAAUAAUAAAGAAAAUCUUAGGAUUUCUCAUCACUGAGCUCUCUGGAAACCUCAUUUGGCUAGAUAGCAAGAUGUAAGCCUUAUUUAUUCCCAUAACUGAAAUGAGUGGCAUAAACUUAAUAUUGAGUAGUAAUUAAAAUUAUUAUUUAUCUAAAAAGUUAAUUGUAGCAAUAUUAUCCUCAAAUCACGAAUUGGAUUAUUUUUGGGAUUUGAUUAAUUUGGCUAACAAACAUCGGUAGUGAGUAUGUGUAAGUCACUAAACUACCUAGUCACUAUGGGACACAGUAGGGGCUAAGACAAGAAGUGGCUGUACCUUCACCAGCCAACCUUCUAAUGAGGGGAAAGUUCACAAGUAACCACUAGGAAUUAGGCUGAUGAGAGGGACAGGCAGGGGAGAGUUGGGGUAGGAUGGUUGGAAAGGCCUCUCCUAGAGACCUAAGGAAUGAAUGCAGCCAGCCCCUCCUGGGAAGGUCAGAAGGUGCAUGGGUGGGGGCCUUGAGGAAGAGGGAGCUGCAUCUGCCAGAACCCAGACCCAUGGGUGAGGCCAUGAGGGCAUUCAGAGGCACUGGAGACUGGUGGGGAGUGGGGAAGAGAUAGCAGAGGCCAAGUCAGCUGGGCACUGGAGGCUAAGGCAGGAGUUUAGAGUUUUUCAUGGUUCAGUGAGAAGGGUUUUAAAGCAAGGGGUGACACAGUAUGAUCUAAGCUUUAACUAUUAUUCUAUCAUAAAUAACAAGAGAUGGAUGAGGUACCAAGAGUGGAGAAAGGGUAGCAGGGAAGUCAGGGGCACAGAGAGAAGUGAUUGGGUCCAAGAGAGAAGCCGGAGGGAGAGCUGCUGAGUCUUGGCAAAGACAGGGUCCAGGCAGUGAGGAGAAGGAAUGUCAGCCUGACAACAUGGAUGGGAAUGGAAUUUUCUGAUAAGAAAUUCUGAGGUACCACUAGGCCUCAGCACUCCACCUUUCCUAAGGGUAGCUGGAUAAUCAUUAUUCUAAAAGGAACACGCAGCCCACACAUGCACACACAUACCACUCCUGGCUCUGGGAAGUACCAUAGUCCACAAAGCUCAUCCUGGAUGUCCUUCCUGCCCCUCUGAUUACAGUUCCUCUGUUCUAGGCCCAGGUCUCAAGCUCAGGAUUUACAACCACAGCCUCAAAAUCAGAAAGUUGGCCUGGUGUGGUGGCUCACACCUGUAAUUCUGGUGGCUCACACCUGUAAUUCCAGUGACUCAGGAGUCUGAGGCAGGAGAGUUGCAAGUUCCAGGCCAACCUGGGCAACUUAGUGAUAUCCUGUCUCAGAAUAAAUAUAGAAAGGCUGGGGCUGUGACUCAAAGGUAGUGUGCCUCUGGGUUCAAUCCUCAAUACCACAAUAAUUUUUUUAAAUAAAAAUUUAAAAAGUAAAGCAGAACAAAACUCAGGAAGUUACUGGGGUGCAUGUUAAGGUUUUGCCUCACCUAUGAGCCAACCAUCUUCUUAGAAAAAGCAGCUAGCAGUGUCUUCCUCCUCUGGGUCCAUGGAGUCUCCCUUCCUCCAAACCUGAGCACCUAAGUAGGUAAGGGUCAAACAUGCAGGUCUCUCCUCUGGAGGCAAGCUCCAGCAUGGGGCCUGGGGCCUGGGCCCUGCCAUACUACACAAAGGGCUGGGAAGGUCUUGGGAGAAACCAGCCUAGUCAGCUGGACUCAGAUCAGACAGGCAUGCAUCCUUCAGUGGUGGGAGUUGGGCACUGAGCUCAAGAAGGGCACUUCGGGAAAUGUGUGUUGGGAGAGCUUUCAGAUAUGGUAAUGGGGUUGCUGCUGUCUGUUGUGUGGGUGCAUCUCAUGUUAGGCACCCAUGGCUUCAGUGCCACUGUCGAAUGGGCAGAGUCCACCAUUACUGCUUUCCCUCCACCCCGUGAACAGCAGUCUGGUGGCCACACAUAUAGGGUCCCACAUCUGGCCCUCUGUGCCUAUUGUGCCUCCUUAAGGCUGCUGGGUGUACAUGAAGGAGUUCCAGGGACCAUCCUACAGCUCUGUCCCCUAUCCUGAUUCUGGACCUGACAUGUAUCAGAUACUUGACCAGCGUGUGUUGAAUGAAUACACCGAAACCAGGCUAUUGCAGCACUCUCAGGAAUGACUUAGCCUUGAGCUGAGAGGUGGCAUUGGAGAUGAAGAAAAGGAGAUGUUUUAAAUACAUUUUUUAAUACAUAAAGUAGAAGGGAUAGUAGUUGCUGAUGAAUUAAGAAAUGACUGAAUUCCCAUAUUGAGCUGUUUAGUUCACGUUAAUCGUGUAUUUCUCAAAAUGUCCAGGAAGAGAAGCAAGUCAUAUUUUUAUUGACAAACACUAUAAACUAUAUCACCAUAUAAAGUAUAUCAACAUUUAAUUUUAAUAAUUGUAGGAACUGAAGAAAAUUCAAAGAGAUCAUGUGAUAUUAUGUAAGUCACUAACCACCAAAAGAUGCUAAGGGAUAAAAAUUUAGAGAGCUCAGUAUGUAGGUGGGUUGUGUUUUUUAUAUAAAAUCCAGUCACUUGAAAAGUCAUCCUCUCCCACCUCAAAUGUCCAGCACUUGACUUUUUAAAAUUUUUUUCAGUGCUGGGGGUCAAACCCAGGGCUUUUCCCAUGAUGGACAACUGCUCUAUCACUGAGCUACAUCUACAGCCUUUGUCUGGCACUUGACAGGCUCUUAAUAAAUGUUGGUCAGAUGGAUGGAUGAAUAAAUGAAUUUGCCAUAGUUUGGCAAGUAUUUUUGAGAGUGAGAUUGCAUUCUAAAGCAGAACAUAUCAGGCCAAAGAAAGAAUGAGAAAUUUAACAUUACUUGAUUCCUGCUUGUUUCUUCUGGCCCAGAAGGCCUUGAAUGCAAAAACUGCUGCACCAGAUAACAUGGACAAGCAGCACCAUCAUUCAUUGAGAGCCUGCAAACACCAGGCACCUGUGCAUACUCCAAUUCUAAUUGCAAGGUAGCUAUAUCCACAAUUUAAGUAUGAAGUUAAGUAAUGUCAAAACACAAGACACAAACUAGUGGUGCUGAAAUUCAAAAUCCUUGACCAAUUCCACAGUUUCCCUGAAACUUUGGUGCAGAGGUGUACUAAAGCCUGUGGGUGAGGGCAUUCAGAGUUGAAGAGGACAUAGAGGAUGUGUGUGUGUGGUUUUUUUUUUUUUUUUUUUUUUUUUUUUUUUGGUACUUGGGAUUGAACUCUGGGGCACUCUAUUUUGUAUUUUCUAUUUUGUUUAGAGACAGGGUCUCACUAAAUAGCUUAGUGCCUUGCUUUUGCUGAGGCUGGCUUUGAACUCAUGAUCCACCUGCCUUAGCCUCCCAAGCCGCUGGAAUUACAGGCGUGCGCCACCAUGCCUGGCUAGAGGCUGUGUUUUAUAAAAUGAAGUAAGUCAAUCUGUUAGUGUGGUACACCUUGCAAUUUUUACUCCAGUAAAAUAUUUUAUAAUAAUGAUAAUGAGGCACAAGCUCUGAUUCAUCUGCUCUUCAGUGAGUUUUCUUUGUGCAAGGUAGCACUGAAACAUGCACACAGCCUGUGCUCGAGUGCAGGCCUCUAGUUCCAAGGCUUGGGGAGAGUCUGUGGUGGGAGGACCCCUUGAGUCCAGGUGUUGGAUUCCAGCCUGGGCAACUUAGCAAAUAUCUUGUCUCAAAAUCAAACCUGGAAAGGGCUGGGGUGUAGUUUGGUGGUAGAGCACCCCUGAGUUCAAUCCCCAGUGACACAAAGGAAAAGAAAGGGAAAGGGUAGGAUGGAAAGGGAGGGAAUAAAAGCAUAUGUAAGAUGCCACCCUUGUCCUCAUGGCGCUUGGCAUCUAGAGGUAAGUUAAAAUCACUCCCUGUCCUCACAGUGUAACCAAAUACAUGAUCGGAGGUGUUCACAGUAGAGUUUUGCUGUAUUUUUUUAGGGACACUUGAUGCUACUUAGAAUUUAAAAUUCCAAAUGUCUGAUUGAAUUAUCUCUCAUAAAAAAACUCUAAAUUUACAUGGUACUCAAAAACUGCUAAAUUUUGAGUAGUUUUAGAAAAUGAAAACUUGAAACCUAGUCACACCAUUCACUUUUAAAAGGGAAAGUGAAGGGGUUGGGGUUGUGGCUCAGUGGUAGAGUUCUUGCCUAGUAUGCAUAAGGCACUGGGUUCGAUCCUCAGCACCACAUAAAUAUAAAAAUAAAGAUAUUGUGUCCACCUAAAGCUAAAAAAUAAAUAUUUAAAAAAGAAAUUUUUGAAAGUGAAAAUUGAAACCUAGCUAUCCCAUUAAAAAAGGGAUAAAUUUACAUGUAACUUUAAUAAUUUGCAAUUCAAAAUUUAUUAAUGUUAAAAAAUUGUUGUUGUUUUCCUUAAAAGGUCAGCUACUUGCUAACUGCAUCUUCAGUUAGAAAGUUUUGCUCAAGCUGGGCAUGAUAGUGCACACUUGUAAUCUCAGUGGCUUGGGAGGCUGAAAUAGGAAGAUGGAGAGUUCAAAGCCAGCCUCAGCAAUAGCGAGGUGCUAAGUGACUCAGUGAGACUCUCUCAAUAAAAUACAAAAUAGAGCUGGGGAUAGUGGCUCAGUGGUCAAGUGCCCCUGAGUUCCAUCCCCCACCAAUUUUUUUGCUCAACAUUCUAUUAGUUGGGAACAACAUUCAUGAGAUGUAUGUGUCUCUGGGCAUUACUUAGCUAUGUAAUUCAAAAGGGACAUUUUGAACAUAUUUUCUGNAGUCUGGUGGCCACACAUAUAGGGUCCCACAUCUGGCCCUCUGUGCCUAUUGUGCCUCCUUAAGGCUGCUGGGUGUACAUGAAGGAGUUCCAGGGACCAUCCUACAGCUCUGUCCCCUAUCCUGAUUCUGGACCUGACAUGUAUCAGAUACUUGACCAGCGUGUGUUGAAUGAAUACACCGAAACCAGGCUAUUGCAGCACUCUCAGGAAUGACUUAGCCUUGAGCUGAGAGGUGGCAUUGGAGAUGAAGAAAAGGAGAUGUUUUAAAUACAUUUUUUAAUACAUAAAGUAGAAGGGAUAGUAGUUGCUGAUGAAUUAAGAAAUGACUGAAUUCCCAUAUUGAGCUGUUUAGUUCACGUUAAUCGUGUAUUUCUCAAAAUGUCCAGGAAGAGAAGCAAGUCAUAUUUUUAUUGACAAACACUAUAAACUAUAUCACCAUAUAAAGUAUAUCAACAUUUAAUUUUAAUAAUUGUAGGAACUGAAGAAAAUUCAAAGAGAUCAUGUGAUAUUAUGUAAGUCACUAACCACCAAAAGAUGCUAAGGGAUAAAAAUUUAGAGAGCUCAGUAUGUAGGUGGGUUGUGUUUUUUAUAUAAAAUCCAGUCACUUGAAAAGUCAUCCUCUCCCACCUCAAAUGUCCAGCACUUGACUUUUUAAAAUUUUUUUCAGUGCUGGGGGUCAAACCCAGGGCUUUUCCCAUGAUGGACAACUGCUCUAUCACUGAGCUACAUCUACAGCCUUUGUCUGGCACUUGACAGGCUCUUAAUAAAUGUUGGUCAGAUGGAUGGAUGAAUAAAUGAAUUUGCCAUAGUUUGGCAAGUAUUUUUGAGAGUGAGAUUGCAUUCUAAAGCAGAACAUAUCAGGCCAAAGAAAGAAUGAGAAAUUUAACAUUACUUGAUUCCUGCUUGUUUCUUCUGGCCCAGAAGGCCUUGAAUGCAAAAACUGCUGCACCAGAUAACAUGGACAAGCAGCACCAUCAUUCAUUGAGAGCCUGCAAACACCAGGCACCUGUGCAUACUCCAAUUCUAAUUGCAAGGUAGCUAUAUCCACAAUUUAAGUAUGAAGUUAAGUAAUGUCAAAACACAAGACACAAACUAGUGGUGCUGAAAUUCAAAAUCCUUGACCAAUUCCACAGUUUCCCUGAAACUUUGGUGCAGAGGUGUACUAAAGCCUGUGGGUGAGGGCAUUCAGAGUUGAAGAGGACAUAGAGGAUGUGUGUGUGUGGUUUUUUUUUUUUUUUUUUUUUUUUUUUUUUUGGUACUUGGGAUUGAACUCUGGGGCACUCUAUUUUGUAUUUUCUAUUUUGUUUAGAGACAGGGUCUCACUAAAUAGCUUAGUGCCUUGCUUUUGCUGAGGCUGGCUUUGAACUCAUGAUCCACCUGCCUUAGCCUCCCAAGCCGCUGGAAUUACAGGCGUGCGCCACCAUGCCUGGCUAGAGGCUGUGUUUUAUAAAAUGAAGUAAGUCAAUCUGUUAGUGUGGUACACCUUGCAAUUUUUACUCCAGUAAAAUAUUUUAUAAUAAUGAUAAUGAGGCACAAGCUCUGAUUCAUCUGCUCUUCAGUGAGUUUUCUUUGUGCAAGGUAGCACUGAAACAUGCACACAGCCUGUGCUCGAGUGCAGGCCUCUAGUUCCAAGGCUUGGGGAGAGUCUGUGGUGGGAGGACCCCUUGAGUCCAGGUGUUGGAUUCCAGCCUGGGCAACUUAGCAAAUAUCUUGUCUCAAAAUCAAACCUGGAAAGGGCUGGGGUGUAGUUUGGUGGUAGAGCACCCCUGAGUUCAAUCCCCAGUGACACAAAGGAAAAGAAAGGGAAAGGGUAGGAUGGAAAGGGAGGGAAUAAAAGCAUAUGUAAGAUGCCACCCUUGUCCUCAUGGCGCUUGGCAUCUAGAGGUAAGUUAAAAUCACUCCCUGUCCUCACAGUGUAACCAAAUACAUGAUCGGAGGUGUUCACAGUAGAGUUUUGCUGUAUUUUUUUAGGGACACUUGAUGCUACUUAGAAUUUAAAAUUCCAAAUGUCUGAUUGAAUUAUCUCUCAUAAAAAAACUCUAAAUUUACAUGGUACUCAAAAACUGCUAAAUUUUGAGUAGUUUUAGAAAAUGAAAACUUGAAACCUAGUCACACCAUUCACUUUUAAAAGGGAAAGUGAAGGGGUUGGGGUUGUGGCUCAGUGGUAGAGUUCUUGCCUAGUAUGCAUAAGGCACUGGGUUCGAUCCUCAGCACCACAUAAAUAUAAAAAUAAAGAUAUUGUGUCCACCUAAAGCUAAAAAAUAAAUAUUUAAAAAAGAAAUUUUUGAAAGUGAAAAUUGAAACCUAGCUAUCCCAUUAAAAAAGGGAUAAAUUUACAUGUAACUUUAAUAAUUUGCAAUUCAAAAUUUAUUAAUGUUAAAAAAUUGUUGUUGUUUUCCUUAAAAGGUCAGCUACUUGCUAACUGCAUCUUCAGUUAGAAAGUUUUGCUCAAGCUGGGCAUGAUAGUGCACACUUGUAAUCUCAGUGGCUUGGGAGGCUGAAAUAGGAAGAUGGAGAGUUCAAAGCCAGCCUCAGCAAUAGCGAGGUGCUAAGUGACUCAGUGAGACUCUCUCAAUAAAAUACAAAAUAGAGCUGGGGAUAGUGGCUCAGUGGUCAAGUGCCCCUGAGUUCCAUCCCCCACCAAUUUUUUUUUUUUUUUUUUGCUCAACAUUCUAUUAGUUGGGAACAACAUUCAUGAGAUGUAUGUGUCUCUGGGCAUUACUUAGCUAUGUAAUUCAAAAGGGACAUUUUGAACAUAUUUUCUGUAGGUUAAAUCUGUGUUAAUUUACAUUUCAUCAUUAUAUUAAAUUUUUCCAAAAACGAGUAAAAUAUUCAGUGCUUUCUCAAUCUAUUUUUUUAAAUUUUGUAAUCUUCAUGGUUUAUUUUAGAUAAUUUAUACAUAUAAAUUAUAUUUUCUACAAUGCAGAUUAAAAAUGGCAAACUCCUGUGCAUCAAAGACCCUCACUGCACUUUCAAAUCUGCAUCCAAAUAUGGCUAAUCUGGUAGGUCUCAAUGAUGUGGUAAUCUGAUCAUUCUCUAAUGAAGCUUGAUGUGGUAAAAUUAUGUUGUGUCAGCAUUAUUGAUUCACUGGCACAUAUUUGUGUAGUCGACAAGUAUGUGGACACUCUCUGCAUUAUCAUUGUUAGGUAUUAAGUAUCCCCAAGCUUCUUUAUAUUUAUGAUAGUUAAAUUUAAAUUAACCUUUCUUUAUCUAUAGAGUAGGAGACAUGAUUGUCAAUAUAACUAACAAUUGUUCAAGUUGCUCCAAAUGAUCAAAUAUUUGUAUUAUUUUAAUGUAAUAUAAAGUGGUACAUUCAAUGAAUGUUGUUUUAGCACUGUAAAAUCAUUUUCAAUAAUUGCAUUUUAAUCAAAUUAUGCAAGUUAUUGUCUUAAGCACUUGUCAUUAUGGUGCUUUUUAUGACUUUUAUGGGAGGAGUUGUAGGGGGAUGAUUUCUAACAUGCUGAGACUGUUACUUAUUUAAAGUAAGUCUGGGUGGAAUCAUGGAGGAAUGUAUUUAUCAUGAAGCAGUUACCAGUCAUCCUUACCAUCCCUGUCUUUAAGCAGUGUGCUGUUUACAUUUGGUUUCUGCAAAUCGGAUUUCUUAAAAUGGGAUAAAUUUACAUAUAACUUUAAUAAUUUGGAAUUCAACGUUUAUUUGUAUUUAAAAUAAUAAUUGUUGUAGUUUACCUUAAAAGCACAACAAAAAGUUUUCCUUAAAAGGUAAAUCAUUUGCUAAUUGUCUCUUCAGUUAGAAAGUUUUACUCAACGUUUCCAUUAGUUGUGUUUCUCCAACAAAAUUCAGCAGGAUGUGCAUGUACAUGGAAUUUCAAAACUAAUGGCAAGAGAUGACUAGUUAACAGCUCAAUUAGAAUGAUAGUCUUAAAAGCUUGACUGUAUUUUAAAUGUCACAAAUUAUUGCAAGGUUAAAAUCAGUUGCUAGUAAUAUAAAUUUAGGCUUUUCCCUUCAGAAAAAAGAUAAUUAUCUUUUAUUUCUUAAAGCCUUUUUGAAAAUUUUUCUUUGGUAGUUGCUAAAGAGAACAUUAAAUAUUUAAGAGGAUGUUGAUAGGUAUUAAGAGACAUAGAUGUUAAGAUCCAGGAUUUUAGUUAGCAGCAAUGUGUAAGUUAUGUUACAUUUUUUUUAAUAUUUAUUUUUUAGUUUUAGGUGGACACAAUAUCUUUAUUUUAUUUUUAUGUGGUGCUGAGAAUCGAACCCAGUGCCUCACGCGUGCUAGGCGAACGUGCUACCACUUGAGCCACAUCCCCAGCCCCUAUGUUACAGUUUAAUUAAUUUUACUGUCCAGCAUGUUUGGAUUAAGAAGCUAAGCAAUUUUGUGUUAGAAAACCCUGUAUAAAGGAAAGCCUUGAAGACCAUGGCAAAUUAAAUUGUAUCAUACAUGUGCUUUGGAUGAAUUCAGUAAGGAUUGAUAGCAUAGGGCAGUUACUAUGCUCCAUCUAGUGAUUGGAAAAAAAAGUAGAACCAUACUAAGUAUCAAAUGAUUAUAUUUGUAAUAGCAGUUAACUGUCUUAUUGCUUUGUACUAUUCCUUGUGGAAUUGAACAUUUAUGAAGUUCUUUUAGAUGUUUGUCUGGAAUAAAUACAUUUAAAUGGUCCUAGUAAAAAAUGUUUGUUAAAGCCAGUAAAAUAUAACAAGUCCAUGAAAUUAAAUUUACAUCUACAUCUGUGUUUAAUAUUGGUCUUCUGUACUCUUUUGUUUUUCAGAAAAUAAUCGGUAUAGUUAUUGGGAAAACAGAUGUCAAAGGCUUUCCAGACAGAAAAAGCUGAGUUCUGAAGUUUAACUCUUUGCUUCAUUUUUCAUUAACUGUAGUUUAUGGCUGCAAUGAAUAUUUAACUGAGCAAAUUUCCGUGCCUGCUGACCUACUAAGAGUAAUGGCCGUGUUCUCUAUUGUAUGGUCAAGGCCAUGUGUGUGAAGACAAAUUCUAUUUUUAAUGAUUGUAUGUGAUGUUUCUCACAUAAUAAUUAUUGUUAUAAAAUGCUAAAAUAAUUAAUUAAAUUGGCCAGUUCAUUAGCUUGAAAGAAUUUGUUUAGCAUUUCCAUGUGUGUAAAGGUAAAGUAGAAAUUGUCUUGUGAUUUUAAGAUAUAAUAGUGUCUGAGACUAGGAACUUGGAGUUAGACUGACUGGCCUCCCUUAGUCUCUAAAUGAUAUGGGGUCUCUCCUGUAUACAUGUGUGAAAUGGGGAUAAAUAAAACCAUGUGAGAAUUAAUUGGUUCUUUUGGGUAUGAACUAGCACCAUGUGGACCCAUACUAAGAAAACCGUGCUGGCUACCACUAUGAACCUGUGCAGUGACAGACAUGCACAUGGAUCUCACGUAAGACAAGAUGAUGACAUUUUUGGAGCAGGGAGGUACCAUUGUGAUGGGUAAUUAACCCAGGCCUGGAUGCAAAAGGACACUGUCCAAGAGAAUUAGUGCCUUGGAAAGGGAGAGUUCCCCUCCCCUUUCUAGCCAGGGAACCUAAUUAUCACCACUAACUCCUACCUUUUGGAUUGUCAAGGACUUUCCCUAGGACCUACCUACUUUCCUUUGAAGUAUAAAUGCUCCUGUGAAGGCUGUGGGCCCAAGGCUAGAUAUUUAUGGAAAGCUUUGUAGGAGGAGUCAGUUCCCUCUCAUCGCACUCUGCUUCUGGGAACAUGCUUCCUGCUUGAAAACUCUUACACUCAAUCAUAUAUUGUUUUUUUGAAACCCUGUGCACAAUUAUGUAUCAUUUUAGACUAGAAAAUUUAUGACACUAGAUAGCCUAUAAAUGUUGUGAAAAACUGGUAAAGGGCACUUAGAAUUUGGAGUGCUGAUCUCCUCUGAGCCUGCUGGCAUACAAUAAAGUUUGAUUUCUCCCACACUUUGAGUGCCCUUUGCUGCUUCUUGCCUGAUACCCACCGAAAUAUC